rnacentral:rRNA from 1 species
UACGGAGGGUGCAAGCGUUGUCCGGAUUUAUUGGGUUUAAAGGGUGCGUAGGCGGCCCGUUAAGUCAGUGGUGAAAGCCUCCAGCUCAACUGGAGAACUGCCAUUGAUACUGGCGGGCUUGAGUACAGACGAGGUUGGCGGAAUUGAUUGUGUAGCGGUGAAAUGCAUAGAUACAAUCAAGAACACCGAUUGCGUAGGCAGCUAACUAGGCUGUAACUGACGCUGAGGCGCGAAAGCUAGGGGAGCAAACGGG